CUAACCCUCCCCCGACUACCUUCACCCAGGUAUAUACAAACCCUCCCCCCGACUACCUUCACCCAGGUAUACUGUCUGGUGGUUGGAUGCAGAGUUGCCCAAACAUCCACCAAGUCAUACUGAAUCAAUACAUAAUUCAGCACCCCUGCAGAGACUGGAUGUGGCUCCUCACCAUUCCGGUCCCUGGUAAAAUCAAUCAUGCAGUUCCAACCCCCCCCUAAAACCAGCACCUCAGCCUGUUCUAUCAGUGCCAGCUCUUUGCGUUAGCACCCAAAAAACACUCCCCACUCCCGCCCUGUACUAGGUGCAUACACAUUUAUUAAAAACAAACAGCACAUUCUCAAUCUCUGCCUUUACAACCAACAACCUGCCGCCACACACUUCCUUUGACAACUUAAUAUUGACGCCCAGACCAAGGGAGAAAAAUACUGACACCCCUGCACUAUUGUUGGUACCAUGGCUCAGCCCCCCUGCACUACUGUUGGUACCAUGGCUCAGCACCUUUGCCCCCUUCCACCAGAGCCCCCAAUCCACCUCAUUUACAACAUGCAAAAACAGGUCAUCUAUAUGUUUAUGUUUGACAAACUCCCCCAACAGGUUUUCUAAGUGAUGUAAAGGGAACACUAGACCCUGUGCCCUACAGCAGUGGUUCUCAACUUUAGACCUUUUAUUCUGCUUCUCUUAUCAGGUAUAUAGUGAAACUUUCUCUAGCCACAGGGCCAAAUUUGUAUAUAACUAGAACUAAUAGGUCACACCAUAUUGAUUAUAGGAUAAAACCUUACAGAUAUCUGCAAGUUUGUAUGGUGUUGAGUCUAGGGUUUCAUUUGGAAUUGAGUUGUGAAGUUCACUUGCUCAAACAUGUUUUUUGAGCGUAGAGUGUGGACCUUACAUUCUAACUCUGAAAUUAUACAUUUUUGUUUAAUUCUGAUACAAUUCUGUCCUCUCCACUAAGUCAACCAAUACCAUAAAUGUAGGCUUCAAGGACAAGCUGUCACCAAGACACAUUUGAUCUGCAAUGUUAUCAGUCCUAAAGAGACGUGGGUAUUAUCUAAAAAUGUUUUUGUCCUUGAGAAAUGUUUUAAUCCAGACCUGUCAGCCUUGGAUGCAGAAUAGGAGGAUAUCUGAGGGAUGAUGGUUCCAAAGUGUGAUUCAUGUUUUGAAAUGUUGUGUGAGGCAAAGUCCUGAUGAGUCAAACCUAACAGAUAGAUGAGCUCAUGUCCCAGUUCAGACAUUAUCUGCUUGUGUCUGCUCAUUGUCAACACAAAAUAAAAAUCCCUUUGGCUUUCUCCUUUUCUGUUUUGAAACAAUCA
ensembl:lncRNA